GCCCGAAUAUACGGUUCAGGUGCUCUCGAAAUGGAGCUGUUCAAGGGAACUCCGUGCGAUUCGGAGACGGGCCCGCCGCUGUAACCCCGCCCGACACCACUGUCGGGAACCUCAUGCGCCCUGUGCGCCACUGUCUGAUUCAGGAUGGGAAGGCUGCGCGUGAGGCGGGGAAGUCAGAAGACCUGCCUGGACGAUGUUGGCCUU
rnacentral:ncRNA from 2 species